GACACUGCGAGCGAGUGGCGGUACCGCGAGGAGGCCGCCCAAGCCCUGGGCUGGCGCGGAUAUCUGUGGUUCCGAAACGCUGCGGCAGCUUCUGUCAGUCCUGGGACUUCUGCGGGCGGUUGGCAAGGUCGGCCCUGCUCGCCCAGGCUACGGCCUCGCGGACCCCAGGUCACGCCUCCUUUGAGGAGUACUAGAGCCUCCGUCCUCCCCCACGCUGUUUCCCCAUCUGCACUCAGUAAGUCAGACCAACCGGCCCUUGGCGCCCCUCCAACUCUACCAUCGAACUGUCUGGGCUAGCGGCCACUCAGCCGCCCACCCGACCCACCCGACCCACCCGACUUAGACGGUCCUCGCCGUCAGGAGCACUCUGAGGGGUCCGGCCCGCGGCGCCCCGCACUCACCCGGCUGACGUUUCACCGCCAUCACUGACACUAGAUAGUGCGCGAUGUCAAAAAAGGGAAACAUGGACGUGCGGGAGAAGGCCAGAGCCAACUCGUCCCAUGGAGAAUCCAUAACGACCACCGACCGCGGCAACCGAAGCAGCCGCGGCUACUGGUUCCCCGCGCUCGCGCGGUGAGGAGUAGGAGAGGGCACAGCCGCGGCCGCCCGCUCCUCCGCGCCGGCUCCAGCUCCGCGCGUGCGCCCUGGCGCCGAGGGGGCGGGGCCGCGCUUCGCGGGAGCCGCAGGCUCACCGGCGCUAGGCGGGUGGGCGGGGCGAGCGGGUUCCCCGCGGCUCCAGCCGGCUCUUGCCUCGGUUCUCCUAGUAAGGGUCCAGCGUCUUCUUGGUCCUGGGCGCAGUGCAGGACCUGGAGAGCGUGCAGAUGAACAAAACACGGUCCUCAAGGGGAGACGCUCAGAGUUGGAUUUAUUUCUGUAAAUUGAUGUCAUUCACCUAACAUUUAUCGAGCAACCACAGUGCAAGUCACACUGUGACUUACUGGAGAUAUAAAAAUAAAACAAUAAUAUCCUGACCUCAAGAACUAUGCGUUCCCUGAAAGAGAUUUUUUAUAAAAAGAGAAAAAACGCACAUAAUGGUACAAAAGCAGGUACUGAGAAGUAUAGCUGCCGUGCGAGAGCAGUUCGAAACGAAGAUUACAAUUCUGGGAAGUGAGUAAAGUGACAUGUGAGCUGGACUUUAAAAGUUAAGUGAGAAACACAAGCUAGGUGGGAGAUGGAGGGAGGUGUUUUGGGUUGACUACAAAGUGAGAAAUGAGGUUGGGAAAAGUCCUCGAAUGGCAGACAAAGCCAGGCAGUUUGGCUCCAGAGGUUAAAUUCUUGAUCAAUCACUAUGUUAAGCUCAGAGCCAGAAUCUCUUCUCCUAAUCUCUACGCUAACUGGGUUGUUUGGUGGAAGGUGAGGGAGUAGAGGUGCAACGAAGCAACAAGAUUAAGAAUAGAUUGAUGAGAAGCGACUGACAACGGAAAAUCAGAGGGUAUUCACUGGUCCAAGCAAAAGGUAGUGGAGGCUGUGGCAGCAGAAAUUGAGACCAAUUGUGGGAAACAUGGGUAGAAGCAGAAUAUCGUCAGUGAGUGUCAGUCUGUACAGGCGGGAAAGGAAGCAUUUGUCAAAUAAAAUGAGGAACGGGUGAGUAGGAGGAUUGUGGUUGCAUUCUGAUAAAUAGGAAACAAGAAGGAAUAGGUUUGGGUAAGAAAAAAAACUAGCUUGGCACACUUAUUUGAUGUGUGAACAGAUUAUGCUGGCACCAGGAAAUUGGAGAAACGUGAUUAGCUGCUAGGUAGGUGACAGCUUCACGGGUGUAUGCACUGCAAAAGGAGAAUUUUU
rnacentral:lncRNA from 1 species